ACCCACCAGGGUUGAAAACCUGGGGGAUGACCUGUGGUUAGGGGUGAAAGGCCAAUCAAACUCCGUGAUAGCUGGUUCUCCCCGAAAUGCAUUUAGGUGCAGCGUCGUGUGUUUCUUGCCGGAGGUAGAGCACUGGAUAGGCGAUGGGCCCUACCGGGUUACUGACCUUAGCCAAACUCCGAAUGCCGGUAAGUGAGAGCGCGGCAGUGAGACUGUGGGGGAUAAGCUCCAUGGUCGAGAGGGAAACAGCCCAGAGCAUCGACUAAGGCCCCUAAGCGUACGCUAAGUGGGAAAGGAUGUGGAGUCGCAGAGACAACCAGGAGGUUGGCUUAGAAGCAGCCACCCUUGAAAGAGUGCGUAAUAGCUCACUGGUCAAGUGAUUCCGCGCCGACAAUGUAGCGGGGCUCAAGCGUACCGCCGAAGUCGUGUCAUUCCAGCACAUACCCCCAACGGGGGCUGGGAUGGGUAGGGGAGCGUCGUGUGCCGGGUGAAGCAGCCGCGGAAGCGAGUUGUGGACGGUUCACGAGUGAGAAUGCAGGCAUGAGUAGCGAUACACACGUGAGAAACGUGUGCGCCGAUUGACUAAGGGUUCCUGGGUCAAGCUGAUCUGCCCAGGGUAAGUCGGGACCUAAGGCGAGGCCGACAGGCGUAGUCGAUGGACAACCGGUUGAUAUUCCGGUACCCGCUUUGAAACGCCCAGUACUGAAUCAGGCGAUGCUAAGUCCGUGAAGCCGGCCCGAUCUCUUCGGAGUUGAGGGUAGUGGUGGAGCCGAUGAACCAGACUUGUAGUAGGUAAGCGAUGGGGUGACGCAGGAAGGUAGUCCAGCCCGGGCGGUGGUUGUCCCGGGGUAAGGGUGUAGGACGCACGGUAGGCAAAUCCGUCGUGCACAUAGUCUGAGACCUGAUGCCGAGCCGAUUGUGGUGAAGUGGAUGAUCCUAUGCUGUCGAGAAAAGCCUCUAGCGAGUUUCAUGGCGGCCCGUACCCUAAACCGACUCAGGUGGUCAGGUAGAGAAUACCGAGGCGUUCGGGUGAACUAUGGUUAAGGAACUCGGCAAAAUGCCCCCGUAACUUCGGGAGAAGGGGGGCCAUCACUGGUGAUAGCACUUGCUGCUUGAGCUGGGGGUGGCCGCAGAGACCAGCGAGAAGCGACUGUUUACUAAAAACACAGGUCCGUGCGAAGCCGUAAGGCGAUGUAUACGGACUGACGCCUGCCCGGUGCUGGAACGUUAAGGGGACCGGUUAGCUGCCUUUCGGGGUGGCGAAGCUGAGAACUUAAGCGCCAGUAAACGGCGGUGGUAACUAUAGGGAUCCUAAGGUAGCGAAAUUCCUUGUCGGGUAAGUUCCGACCUGCACGAAUGGCGUAACGACUUCUCGACUGUCUCAACCAUAGGCCCGGUGAAAUUGCACUACGAGUAAAGAUGCUCGUUUCGCGCAGCAGGACGGAAAGACCCCGGGACCUUUACUAUAGUUUGAUAUUGGUGUUCGGUUCGGCUUGUGUAGGAUAGGUGGGAGACUGUGAAGCGGCCACGCCAGUGGUUGUGGAGUCGUCGUUGAAAUACCACUCUGGUCGUGCUGGAUGUCUAACCUGGGUCCGUGAUCCGGAUCAGGGACAGUGUCUGAUGGGUAGUUUAACUGGGGCGGUUGCCUCCUAAAGAGUAACGGAGGCGCCCAAAGGUUCCCUCAGCCUGGUUGGUAAUCAGGUGUUGAGUGUAAGUGCACAAGGGAGCUUGACUGUGAGACCGACGGGUCGAGCAGGGACGAAAGUCGGGACUAGUGAUCCGGCAGUGGCUUGUGGAAGCGCUGUCGCUCAACGGAUAAAAGGUACCCCGGGGAUAACAGGCUGAUCUUCCCCAAGAGUCCAUAUCGACGGGAUGGUUUGGCACCUCGAUGUCGGCUCGUCGCAUCCUGGGGCUGGAGUCGGUCCCAAGGGUUGGGCUGUUCGCCCAUUAAAGCGGUACGCGAGCUGGGUUUAGAACGUCGUGAGACAGUUCGGUCCCUAUCCGCUGUGCGCGUAGGAAUAUUGAGAAGGGCUGUCCCUAGUACGAGAGGACCGGGACGGACGAACCUCUGGUGUGCCAGUUGUCCUGCCAAGGGCAUGGCUGGUUGGCUACGUUCGGAAAGGAUAACCGCUGAAAGCAUCUAAGCGGGAAGCCUGCUUCGAGAUGAGUAUUCCCACCCCCUUUGA
rnacentral:rRNA from 1 species